rnacentral:rRNA from 1 species
AUUGAACGCUGGCGGCAUGCUUUACACAUGCAAGUCGAACGGUAACAGGCCGCAAGGUGCUGACGAGUGGCGAACGGGUGAGUAAUGCAUCGGAACGUGCCCGAUCGUGGGGGAUAACGCAGCGAAAGCUGCGCUAAUACCGCAUACGAUCUGAGGAUGAAAGCGGGGGACCGUAAGGCCUCGCGCGAUCGGAGCGGCCGAUGUCAGAGUAGGUAGUUGGUGGGGUAACGGCCCACAAAGCCGACGAUCUGUAGCUGGUCUGAGAGGACGACCAGCCACACUGGGACUGAGACACGGCCCAGACUCCUACGGGAGGCAGCAGUGGGGAAUUUUGGACAAUGGGCGAAAGCCUGAUCCAGCAAUGCCGCGUGCAGGAAGAAGGCCUUCGGGUUGUAAACUGCUUUUGUACGGAGCGAAAAGGCCCUUUCUAAUACAAGGGGCUCAUGACGGUACCGUAAGAAUAAGCACCGGCUAACUACGUGCCAGCCGCCGCAGUAACAC